rnacentral:rRNA from 1 species
GACGAACGCUGGCGGCGUGCUUAACACAUGCAAGUCGAACGGAAAGGCCCUGCUUGCAGGGUACUCGAGUGGCGAACGGGUGAGUAACACGUGUGUGAUCUGCCCUGCACUUCGGGAUAAGCCUGGGAAACUGGGUCUAAUACCGGAUAGGAGCCAUUUUUAGUGUGAUGGUUGGAAAGUUUUUUCGGUGUAGGAUGAGCUCGCGGCCUAUCAGCUUGUUGGUGGGGUAAUGGCCUACCAAGGCGGCGACGGGUAGCCGGCCUGAGCGGGUGGACGGCCACAUUGGGACUGAGAUACGGCCCAGACUCCUACGGGAGGCAGCAGUGGGGAAUAUUGCACAAUGGGCGCAAGCCUGAUGCAGCGACGCCGCGUGGGGGAUGACGGCCUUCGGGUUGUAAACUCCUUUCGCUAGGGACGAAGCUUUUUGUGACGGUACCUAGAUAAGAAGCACCGGCUAACUACGUG